rnacentral:lncRNA from 1 species
AAGAAUUUACCUUAGUGAUCGUUGGUUGACAUAUAAGCCUUUAGAGCAUAUCUUGGAAUUUUGACAGCCACCAUCACAACUAAUUUACCAUCUAUACUUAGUCUAAUUUGUCUAUAGGAAAUGCCAAUCACAAAAUCAAUACUAACAAUCUCCCCCUUUGGCAUUUCCUAGACAAAACACCUAUUACAACUCAAAAUAAAUUGCAUGGGAUUUAACAACUGAAAUCCUACUCUAAACUCCAAGCUCUGAAUCCCUGCACAUAAUGAAACAACAAAACAAAAUUACAACAUCACUCCCCCUUAAUUCUACAGCACAUGUCUCGCCCUUCUUAUAAUUUCACACAAUCAUCUCUCCCCAUUUUUGUCAGAAAAUCCAAAAGAUAAGGAAAGAACAUAAGGGAGCGUAUAUUAAGGCAUAGAUAUUAACCAGUGAAGCAUUUAAGGUGCUUUAUCUUGUUGUGACUGUGGGUUGCUCAACAUGUGUGGUUACUUGAAAGCACUACUAAGGAAGGCACUUUUUGAUGUCCAUUUGGCUUGACAAGUGACAACGAGCAGUAGCCUCACCCAUUCUAGAUGUGCAACUUGUGCAAUAGUCUCAUCUUUCAUAGCCAAGAUCCAUUUAUCAUAUGCAAGAACAUCAUAGACAUUUUUAGGUUGAAUCAUGGAAAAAUAAUACAAGAGACUUACCACUUUGUAUACGUGUCUGUUAGGCUUCAUGUGGUCAUACACAUUUCAAUUAUAUUAAAAGAGAUAGGCUCGUGAAUUUGUACUUCCAAGUUUGAAAGUGAUACAAUUGAUAACAAUACAGAUGUCUUGAGGAAUGGUUUACAAGACUUCCUUGUCUUUCAAAAUCUAGCUGCACACUUGUGUAAUCAAAUCAAUAAUUCUCCCCAGCAAGCACCAGUCUAACAGAUGGCAAGAGAGCAACAAGAGUAAAUGUUUCAUUAUAUUCCAGCCCUUCAACUUGAGAGUAUUCUUGAUUCUAAUCCUCAGAUUCAAUGUCUAAAGCUUUCUUCUCUUCCAUUAUCGAGCAUAGGGAGAUACAAUGUGAAGACUGCGAUGAGCAACAGGAAGAAAAAUCUAGAUACACACGGAAACAAGAAGCAUAAAACGAUACCACAUGGGAAAAACAAUAAAGCCACACAAAAAACAUUAAUAAAUAAUAAGCAAUACUUUAGAAAAGAGAACAAAACCACAAAGACAUCAAUCAAAAUACAUAGAAUCACCAAUUACUAUGCUUAAUAAGACCCCACGACCCCUCCUUCAUUCAUGCCAAAAAAUGAAUUCAUGAGUAGGUGCCAACACUACGCAUAUGGAUAGACAAGCAAAGCCAAUACCAAUAUCUGUCUAGAAGCAUUUGAAGCAAAGCCUUUCAGGAUCUACGGCACAUCAAAUCACAAAGGUUUAAUCAAACACAAAGAUUAUAAAAUGGAGGAUCAAAAGUAUUUGUAAGAAAUAAAGUCCAUCAAAUGAGUAAAUAUCAAAGCCAUAUCUCGUGUUAUGUGACUAAACUUGCUUAAUAACAAAGAAAAAGUCCAACCAAGAGCAAGCCAAGAACAUAGAAUAAACACAUACAAAAUGCAUAUAACAGGUGUUAAAUCAAGUUUUCUACAAUACCCAUGUAACGGGUGUUAAAUCAAUGUGCUCAAGUCAGUUGACUUUAAGACAAUGGGUGUUAAAGCACCCAUAGGAUGUACUAACCCUAGUCAUGUAGGCUACAAAGAAGAACAAUGUGUACAAGAUCAAAGCUUUUUUACGCGAACCUCGAUGUUGGUUAGACAAGAGGCCCGGUUACUUGGCAACGAUCAAACACUUAUUUUACUUUACUUUUUAAUUAAAGAGAUGUUACAAAUUUGUGAGCUCAGUAGCAAAAAGUACAAUACAAAUCUAGUAUCAAGACAAGGGCAAGGUGAUGAUUCAUUCAAAAUUAUUACGCAAGACUAGAGUGUAUGUGCUAUAUGUGAGACAUGAGAUUUAAUAUAAAGAGUAUUUAAUUGACUUUAUAAAAAAAACAAAGACAUUCGAGAACCAUUCACAUAAACCCAAUAUUAAUCUGCCCGAGGUGAUCCAACGCCAAAAAUCCAAUCUGAGAUCAGUAAAAACUUCUAGACGUCGGCAGGAUUGAUAUCGCUUAUCAAUCCUUGCACGUCCUGAACAAAAUACUUAGAAUUUAAUCCAAUUUCAAAAACAGAGAAGAGAAUAGGUAGAGUCUUUUGGCACGCAUAUAAAAACUUAAUAAAAAGAACAAAUACCUAAAGACUUUCUAAGAGUGUCAAAUCAAAGAUUAUCCAAAGGUUUUGCAACAAGACAUUUUGGAUCUAAAUUUUCUAAAGCAACAGGUUCAUGCGCAACGUUAGUGGAGGAAAACAUACAAUUAUGAUUUUCCUUUUUCCUCCAAACUAACGUUGUCUUAGUUGACGGCAAACAAUGAAAAGAAGAAAGUUUGGAUAAGCGGUUUACUUCUUUCAUAAGAUUUGAAAUCUUAUGUUGGAUACUUACUUUUCCACCCAUGACAUGAGAGUUUGAACGAACAAAUUCGUUUCGAAGCUUAUUGCAUCUUGGUCUUAUGUGCCCACGAGUUCCACAAAAGUGACAAAUUGGAAUGAAUUUCUUGACUUCAUGAGCAGCAGAAGGUUCAAUAGGUGAAGAGGAUUUGACAAACUUUGUUUUAGACACAGCGGAAGACUUAUUACUUUGUUCAAAUCCCAAGCCUCGUUUGUUACCAUCUCUUCUUCCCAUGCUAAUCAUCUUGUCAAUUUUUUCUGCACCAAUGGUUAAAGAAAUAAUCCUUUACUUUGAAUUUUUAAGUUCAAGUUCAAGGGCUUUGUUGUCAGAAGUUAGAGAUGCAAUUAAUUUAUUCUGAUCAGUUAAUUUUUUCUGCAAAAACAUCAAUUUUUCGUUCACCUGCACUUACCUUUUCGGAAUCUGUGUCAAGGGAUUGAAACUCGUUUGCAAUCCUGCUGUUUUCCAACUUCAGUACAGCAACUUCUUUGACGAGCUCACUAUUUUGUUUACUGAGCUUCUAAGAAGCAGCCAACAAAUCAUCAUAUUUGUUCAUGAUAAACUCAGUAUUUAUAUCUUCACAAUCAUCAUCCUCAUGUGAUUCAUCCAAGCCAACUGUGGUUAUGAGUGCAACCGUCUUUUCAUCAUUCUUGGAUUCCGAUUCACUAGGACUCCAAGUUGUAUUGGAUGCUUUGUUCUUCCCAUCCUUUUGCUUCUUCAAAGUGUUAGCACAAUCAAAAGACAUGUGACCAUAACCUCCACAUUUGAAGCAUUUGACUUUUCCUUUUGAAUUUUUCUUGUUGUUUGACCUGUAAGAUUUAGAACCAACAUUAGUGUAAUAAUUAUUUCUAAUUUUCUCAAUAUCCACACCUGAGUUGUUUCAUGAGUCUUGAUCAUAAAUUUUGAAUUCUUAAGGAAACUCUUGAAUUGUCUCAACGUAGCACGAUCCAUCCUACAAUAUUCCGGAUCUCGCUAAGUGUGUCUAGCGACCGGUUCUGAUGCCAAUUGAAAAUACCUAUAGAAUGGCUUAAAACACUAAAAGAGUAAAGUCUGUGUUUUUAGUAGUCAAGAGUAAUACAGUAAUAUAUAAAAACACGCCAAAGGGAUUGAUACGAUGUAUCCAAUCCUCUAUAGUACAGAACGUAAAAACAAAUAAGAACACGGAAGUUAUUUUACGUGGUAAAACCCCACCUUUGGGAAAAAUCCACAGAACCUGAUAGUCCAAGGCAAAUCCACUAUAGAACGAUGAUUACAAGAAGUAUACAAACUUGUCCUAGACACUCUAGACAACGUACCAACUUCUUUGUAACUCAACUUCUCGCCGGAUGAUCUUUCAACACUCUUUAUGUUGAACGCAAUACUGGUCACGAUUACUUCAAGCUCGCUGGAGUUCUUCCAACUCUCCUUAUGUUGAAUCCGAUACUGGUCACGAUUGCUUCAAGCUCGCCGGAGUUCUUCUAACUCUCCUUAUGUUGAAUCCGAUACUGGUCACGAUCGAUUCAAGCUCACCAGAGAAAAACCGUCACAACGGUCUUGGUGCCCUUAACCGUAUGAGUCACCGAACAUGUAAAUGAAUGCAAUAUGAAUACAAAGAUAAAUCACCAAGAUAAUCUUACUCUUGAUGAUUUAUCCUUUUGGAAAAUAAAGCACAUCAACUUUCUUUUAUGUAAUGGAAACUCAAGAAAUACUCUAAUCGUUGAAAGUUGUUGAACAAAUGAAAACCAAGCCUUGCUUUUUAUAAGGGUUUUCAAAACUGGAAACAAGAUCAAUUACUUCCUAAUCAACAUAUUAAUUUUCCAAAAUCAGACUAAUUGAUUUCCAAUCAAAGAAGACUUUUAAUGUUCAAAACUGGAAAGCAAUUUAUAAAAUAAAUUAAUCUUUCUUAAAAUAAAAAGUCUUCUUAAUCAAAAUGUUAAUCAGAUUGUGAGUUUGAAAUAAUACUUGAAAUGUCACAAUCAGGAUGCAUGAUUGAAUGAAGAAUUUACCUUAGUGAUCGUUGGUUGACAUAUAAGCCUUCAGAGCAUAUCUUGGAAUUUUGACAGCCACCAUCACAACUAAUUUACCAUCUAUACUUAGUCUAAUUUGUCUAUGGGAAAUGCCAAUCACAAAAUCAAUACUAACAAUCUCCCCCUUUGGCAUUUCCUAGACAAAACACCUAUUACAACUCAGUUGUCU